rnacentral:rRNA from 1 species
ACGUAGGGGGCGAGCGUUGUCCGGAUUCAUUGGGCGUAAAGCGCGUGUAGGCGGCCAGGUAGGUCCGCUGUGAAAACUCGAGGCUCAACCUCGAGAUGUCGGCGGAAACCCUCUGGCUAGAGUCCGGAAGAGGAGAGUGGAAUUCCUGGUGUAGCGGUGAAAUGCGCAGAUAUCAGGAAGAACACCCGUGGCGAAGGCGGCUCUCUGGGACGGUACCGACGCUGAGACGCGAAAGCGUGGGGAGCAAACAGGA